GGCGAGAAGCUGGGAUCGAGUGGAGAGAAGCUGGGAUCGAGUGGAGAGAAGCUGGGAUCGAGUGGAGAGAAGCUGGGAUCGAGUGGAGAGGAGCUGAGAUCGAGUGGAGAGAAACUGAUUUGAGUGGAGAGAAGCUGGAGUCCAGGGAAGAGAGGCGGGGAUCCAGGGGAGAGAGGCGGGGAUCCAGGGGAGAGAGGCGGGGAUCCAGGGGAGAGAGACGAGGAUCCCGGGAGAGAGGCGGGGAUCCAAGGGAGAGAAGCUGGGAAACAAGUGGAGGAGAAGCUAGUACCCAGGAGAGAGAGGGCGGGGGUCCAGGGCAGGGAGGCGGGGAUCCGGGGCUGAGAGGCGGGGAUCCGGGGCAGAGAGGCGGGGAUCCAGGGGAGGGGAUCUGGGGACUAGUGGAGAGGAGUUGAGAUCCACUGGAGAUAAACAGCGUUCAAGUACAGAGAAGCAGCGAUCAGUAGGGAGAAGCUGGGGACUAGUGAGACAAGUUGGCGCGUUCAAGGAUGGGGAGCAUAAAUGAAGAGCAAAUUGAGAAAGUGGUGGAAGUGAUUGGGAUGAAAGAUUGAUAGAAAUUACCAAUGCUGAGAUGGAAAUUCCUUUUGAAAGUGUAGAGGCGAAUGAUGAAGAAGAGAAUGAGGAAGGGGUGGGGGAGGAGGAGGAUAUCUUGGAAGAAGAGAAUGAUAAUAGUGAUGAAUCUGUUUCUAUGGAAGAGAAAGCAAUUAUAGAGGAAGAAGAAGAAGUGAGUGAGGAGAUGGAGAAUGUAAGAAGGAAAGAGGAGCAAAUAGGGGAUGUUUUGCAAGUCAAAGAGGAGAAAUUAGAGUGAAGCAGAAUGCUAUUGACCCAGAAGGGGUAAAUAGAGAAAGCAUCUGAGCCUAAGAGAAGAAAGAGUGGGAAUGAAGAGCUACUGGGAAUGAAGGUGGACACCAGGACCAAAGGAAGUGAAGAAGUCUGAUAAAGAGGGAAGUGGAACAUUUUGGGAAGAAAGAGAAGAUUUGUUAAUGUGUCGAUAGCUAGAGGAAAAGUGGACAUUGGUUUCUUGGAAAAGAGCUGUGACUAAGGAGCUUGUAGAGAAGUGCUUGAGAAAUGGAUUGAGGAUGGGCCAGAAAGAUUUAGUUUAACAGAUGAUUGAGUUUAUGAGACGUAGGAGAAUGCAUAGUGAGAAAAAUGGACAGUGACAGCGGGAUGAGGAUAGAUCAUGAAGGUGGUGGAAGGAGAUGUGGGCUGGAGUGAUCAAUGUCUGAUAGAGGAUCCUAAAGGAUGAGGAGCUCGACAAAGGCGAGAGCAGAGAUGAGAAAAUAAAGAAGUGACGGAAAAAACAUGACACAUCUCGUUCCCUGACCAGGGAUCAAACCCUGGCCCCCUGCAUUGGGACCAUGGAGCCUUAGCCAGUGGACCACCAGAGAAGUCCUGCAGACCUCUGCCUUCCCAAGAUUAACCACUCUGGGCCUCCUCUGGUGAUAUCUGAGUGUAGAGAAACUGUUGCCCCUCUUCUAAGAGGCAUGCACAGGCACCCAGUCAAGACGGACAGUUUUCUGUUACGUGAGUCUCUCAGAUUGCGCUUCACAGUAUAUAAACUGUGAACUAAAUCAUCAGACUUGUUCUUUGGCUGAAUUACAUUUUCUCCUGGAAUAUGAGAUGCAUUCCACUGAGACCACAGAAAGAAAAAGUGAAGAUCAAGACACCAUGACACCACCUUGUGUUCUGCCCGCUGGAUCCACCGGAAUGAGCCUUUCCCCCUGCUUCAAGUUGGCAGCCAUGUGGUUGGUCUUCCCCACUCGCAGGACAACCUUCUCAGCCUUCUGCACCUCCUCCUUUCCGCUGCGGUUUGUCACACCAGAGCUGCCAACCCUUCUCCCAGAACGUACGCCAAGGGCCCAGGCCUGGCAGCCGCCUCCUCCAUGCCUGGCGAGGCUGUGAUGGAAGAACACUGAGCGGGCACUCAGGCACCCGGGUCCCGGAGUGAUCAGGUCUCCCCAGUGAUCCUAGGUUUUUGACUCAGCCAGGAAAAAAGCAGACCUCGAAGCCUGGCCCCGCACUCUUCUUGUUACUGCCGGCGGGGGACCCCUGGGCGCAUCACAGACUCAUCACCCCACCUCUGGUCUUAGCCCCGUGGCCCCA